rnacentral:rRNA from 1 species
GAGAGGAGCUUGCUCUUCUUGGAUGAGUUGCGAACGGGUGAGUAACGCGUAGGUAACCUGCCUUGUAGCGGGGGAUAACUAUUGGAAACGAUAGCUAAUACCGCAUAACAAUGGAUGACACAUGUCAUUUAUUUGAAAGGGGCAAUUGCUCCACUACAAGAUGGACCUGCGUUGUAUUAGCUAGUAGGUGAGGUAACGGCUCACCUAGGCGACGAUACAUAGCCGACCUGAGAGGGUGAUCGGCCACACUGGGACUGAGACACGGCCCAGACUCCUACGGGAGGCAGCAGUAGGGAAUCUUCGGCAAUGGGGGCAACCCUGACCGAGCAACGCCGCGUGAGUGAAGAAGGU